UAUAAUACAUAUCUAUUACUUAUAGUCUUUAAGAGGAGGAUUGUAGGAUUAAUUGUUUAAGGCAAAUGCAAUAUAUAGACAAUGUAACGAGGGUGUACUUCCCUAGAGGACUUCCUAUGGGAAACUUAUCUUCUAUUUAUGUUAGACACGUGGAGAAAACUCGGAAUACACGCGGCCAACCCCUGAACUUGUCACCAACUACCAGCGUUCAAUUUUAUCCACGGUGAGUCCAUUAAUUAUGAUUAAGAAUUUACAGAUGUUAAUUCCAUUUUAUUCAGUUAUAACCCCCAUAAGCUUUGUUGACAUAUUAGUAGCCUACCGCCUCCAAAAACACAUCUUUACAUCCAUCUUCGACAGGUUCCGACUUAUAAUAAAAUCUUACAUAGCAAAUCAUUCCGUUUCGAAGUUGUUUCUUUUUCUAUUUAAGCGAGUUUUUCAGAUUUUAAUAUAUUACAAUUUUUUUAAGUAUUACUUUUCAUCCACUACAAUGCCAUGGUUGAUAUUGAGUAUAAUUCAAUGAAGUAACGCAAAUAAAUGAAUUAAAAUUUUUAUUUUUUAUUUUUUCCUCAUUCCACGAAAAAAAAGCAUGAAUCUAUAGACGAAUAUAGAAAGCAGAGGAAUUCGUAUAUCAUUUUCAUUUUUCUGUCUUCCAUAUAACAGAGAAAACGUAUGGCGGUCGGCCGAAAAGUGACCCCAGUUCCAGAUUUUUACAUUUUUGGAAUCGGGGACCUUGAAAUAUCGAUAAAUGCGAAAAUUUGAGUUAUUUUUCUGUGUGUGUGUGAGGGGGAACGAUUUUGUUCAACCACUUUAUAGCUUAAUAACUCCUGUGCUUUUUUGUCGAAAAUUUCUGAAUUUUGCAGUAAAGUUUGUGUAGGCCUAUUAGAGAAAAUGAUUCUAUUAAAUUUUGAUAGUUAAAGGUCGAGCGAGUAGGGAGAUAAUGUGCCAUAUCUCGAGUGGGGUCGGACUUAAAGAUUUACUCGUUAUCAUUUACAAUUUUUAUAAAACUCAUCUCUAAUUUCAAAAUUAAGCCUUUUGCCUUUUUAUAAUAAUUAAUUAUUUAUAUAUAAAAAGUUUUUAAUAAAAUAUCUUAAUAGAUGGCACCAUACGCAAUUUUAAAUGUUGCCAGGAAAGUUGCUGGAUUUUUCUAUAUUGUAAAUGUUUGUUUUUAAUGGAGUGUCUAUUUGUCUAUUUCAAACAAUGCCAUAUAGGGUACAUUCAUAUUAUAGCAGUACCAAUAAUAUCAAUUGCACAAAUUCUACAGAUGCCAACAGAAAAUUAAAACAAGAUAAGUUUCUCACAAAUUCAAAGGAAAUUAUAAAUUUGCUUAUAUUCCUAUGCUUCAAAGGUAACAAAAUAAUUACUUCCUAAAAAAUAAAGUUGUAAUAUAAACUGAAUAAACAGUAGGCCUUAAAUCAUUCUUUUUAAUCUUUACGUAGUAACACGUUAUCCUAUGGGAGCAAAAAAGAAAAUUGACUGAGGCCCUCAUCAACAAGAGGCCCAAACCAAUCAUUCAUAAGAAAAAAGUUUCCUUCAAAAAACUCCACCCGAAGCAAAAUGUCUGAAGUCAACAAUGUACUGUACUUGGGACUCUUAAUUCAUAUUCACCUGGGCCCCAUAAAGUAUUCGCUUGUGCCAACGAUAGAUCUGACGUCUAGCGGU